rnacentral:rRNA from 1 species
AGCGAACGCUGGCGGCAGGCCUAACACAUGCAAGUCGAACGAACUCUUCGGAGUUAGUGGCGGACGGGUGAGUAACCCGUGGGAACGUGCCUUUUGGUUCGGACUAACUCAGGGAAACUUGUGCUAAUACCGAAUGUGCCCUUCGGGGGAAAGAUUUAUCGCCAUUAGAGCGGCCCGCGUCUGAUUAGCUAGUUGGUGAGGUAACGGCUCACCAAGGCGACGAUCAGUAGCUGGUCUGAGAGGAUGACCAGCCACACUGGGACUGAGACACGGCCCAGACUCCUACGGGAGGCAGCAGUGGGGAAUCUUGCGCAAUGGGCGAAAGCCUGACGCAGCCAUGCCGCGUGAAUGAUGAAUGUCUUAGGAUUGUAAAAUUCUUUCACCGGGGACGAUAAUGACGGUACCCGGAGAAGAAGCCCCGGCUAACUUCGUG